rnacentral:rRNA from 1 species
GGAGGGUGCAAGCGUUGUUCGGAUUUACUGGGCGUAAAGGGCGUGUAGGCGGAUAUGCAAGCUGGAGGUGAAAGCCCCGGGCUCAACCCGGGAAUUGCUUUGUAGAACUGCAUAUCUAGAGAAAGUCAGAGGCAGGUGGAAUUCCAGGUGUAGAGGUGAAAUUCGUAGAGAUCUGGAGGAACACCGGCGGCGAAGGCGGCCUGCUGGGGCUUUUCUGACGCUGAGGCGCGAAAGCGUGGGGAGCAAACAGGAUUAGAUACCCUGGUAGUCCACGCUGUAAACGAUGAGCACUCGAUGUGCGAGGUACGACCCCUCGUGUGUCACAGCUAACGCAUUAAGUGCUCCGCCUGGGGACUACGGUCGCAAGACUA